rnacentral:rRNA from 1 species
UACGGAGGGUGCAAGCGUUAUCCGGAUUCACUGGGUUUAAAGGGUGCGUAGGUGGGCAAGUAAGUCAGGUGUGAAAUCUCGGGGCUCAACCCCGAAACUGCACUUGAUACUGCCUCGCUUGAGUACUGGAGAGGAGACUGGAAUUUACGGUGUAGCAGUGAAAUGCGUAGAUAUCGUAAGGAAGACCAGUGGCGAAGGCGAGUCUCUGGACAGUUACUGACGCUGAGGCACGAAGGCCAGGGGAGCAAACGGG